GUAAUGUGUCUUUUCCUACGGGACAGAGGAGACAGGUGGUGCAUGGUUGUCGUCAGCUCGUGUCGUGAGAUGUUGGGUUAAGUCCCGCAACGAGCGCAACCCCUGCCUUCAGUAGCCAGCACAUAAAGGUGGGCACUCUGGAGGGACAGCCGAGGAUAACUCGGAGGAAGGCGGGGAUGACGUCAAAUCAUCAUGCCCCUUAUGGCCAGGGCUACACACGUGCUACAAUGGCGCAAACAAAGGGAAGCAGAGCUGUGAGGCCGAGCAAAUCCCAAAAACAGCGUCCCAGUUCGGAUUGUAGUCUGCAACUCGACUACAUGAAGCCGGAAUCGCUAGUAAUCGCGAAUCAGAAUGUCGCGGUGAAUACGUUCCCGGGUCUUGUACACACCGCCCGUCACACCAUGGGAGCCGGAAAUGCCCGAAGUCAGUGGCCCAACCGCAAGGAGGGAGCUGCCGAAGGUGGAGCUGGUGACUGGGGUGAAGUCGUAACAAGGUAGCCGUAUCGGAAGGUGCGGC
rnacentral:rRNA from 1 species